CCCGCCGGCGACCGGCGCACGGGUGAGUAACACGUAUGCAACCUGGCCGCCACAGGGGGAUAACCCGCGGAAACGCGGCCUAAUACCCCGUGACGCCACCGGAGGGCAUCCUCCGGUGGCCAAAGGAGCGAUCCGGUGGCGGAUGGGCAUGCGGCGCAUUAGCUAGACGGCGGGGUGACGGCCCACCGUGGCGACAAUGCGUAGGGGUUCUGAGAGGAAGGCCCCCCACACUGGGACUGAGACACGGCCCAGACUCCUACGGGAGGCAGCAG
rnacentral:rRNA from 1 species